rnacentral:rRNA from 1 species
CGCAUCUGUGCAUGCAGCAUAUCAAUAAGCGGAGGAAAAGAAACUAACAAGGAUUCCCCUAGUAACGGCGAGUGAAGCGGGAAGAGCUCAAAUUUGAAAUCUUAAAGGGUUUCCCUUUACGAAUUGUAGUUUAAAGAAGUGUUUUCUGUUGAGGUUUUGGUAAAAGUUCUUUGGAAUAGGACAUCAUAGAGGGUGAGAAUCCCGUAUUUGACCUUUACUUUCAACUUUGUGAUACACUUUCAAAGAGUCGGAUUGUUUGGGAAUGCAGUCCAAAAUGGGUGGUAAAUUUCAUCUAAAGCUAAAUAUUGGCGAGAGACCGAUAGCGAACAAGUACCGUGAGGGAAAGAUGAAAAGAACUUUGAAAAGAGAGUUAAACAGUACGUGAAAUUGUCAAAAGGGAAGCGUUUGACACCAGUGUUGUUUUUCUGAAAAUCAAUUAAAGAACUGUUUAUGCUAAGCUUGUUUAGACUUUAUCAGCUAACUGUUUAGUUUUGAGCUUUUCUUUAAUGCACUUUUCAGUUAACAAGUCUACAUCAAUUUCUUUUGCUGUAAAAAAGCUUGAGGAAGGUGGCUUGAGAUUCGUCUUAAGUGUUUAUAGCCUCUUGCCUAUGCAGUCGGAGAGAUUGAGGUCUGCAGCGUAGAUCCUUCGGGGCUAAAUGCGUUUGUGCUAAGUUAUAGCAUUUUAUAGACAACUUGUUGACUAUGAUUUGUCUUGUAGCUUACUCGCUUAUGUUAUUUUACCUACGCUUAGGAUGUUGAGCGCAUGUCUCUCUCU